rnacentral:lncRNA from 1 species
CUGAGAGGGCCCGCGGGUAGGCAUGGCGGCGCACCUUAAGAAGCGGGUUUAUGAGGAAUUCACGAAAGUGGUUCAGCCACAGGAGGAAAUUGCUACUAAGAAACUCCGACUAACAAAACCAAGUAAAUCUGCAGCACUCCACAUAGAUCUGUGUAAAGCUACCUCCCCAGCAGAUGCUUUGCAAUACUUGCUCCAGUUUGCCAGGAAGCCUGUCGAGGCGGAAAGCGUAGAGGGAGUAGUCAGGAUUCUCUUGGAACAUUAUUACAAGAGAUGGAGUCUCUCUGUGUUGCCCAGGCUGGUCGCGAAUUCCUGAGCUCAAGCAACCCUCCUGCUUGGCCCUCCCAAAGGAUUGGGAUUACAGACGUGAGCUACCACAUCUGACCAAAAUCAGGAUUUCUGUUCUCAAGAAGUUUUCGAUCUCUCAGUGAUCUAUUUUCCGAGAAUGAUCCAUCUGUGAGACUGAAAAUUGCAUCAUUGUUGGGUUUAUUAUCAAAGACAGCAGGAUUUUCACCAGACUGCAUUAUGGAUGAUGCCAUCAACAUCCUGCAGAAUGAAA